CUCAAUUCUAAUAAGCAUGAUGUUGCUCUGAUCUGUUGGUGUGACGCUUCUAUCUUCACUCCUCCGAGUAGUUGGGUGCAUCCAAACCUUGUUCGCGGGAAUGUAAGUGUAGCGUGCCUGAAAGAGCCUGCCAGCUGCUGCUUUUCUGUGGUGUAAAUUCCAGCUGUUCCAGUUGGGGCGCAGUUUUACUGCGUGCGCGUUACUGUACUCUUGACAUCCAUUCUUUGUACUCUUCGUUGGCUGGCGAUUUAUCGUUCGUUGCCUUGGACGCACUUCCAGCUGGGUCUUUGUAUCGCCUACCUGAAUUAUCUACGCACUUGUUGUGCUGUUUUGCGGUUUGUGUGUGUGUGUGUGUUGUUUGUUUAUAUUCAAAGUUGUAUGCGAGUUAUUUGGGGGGGGGGGUUGUAUAUAUUUAUACAUAGAUAUAUAUGUUCCUUGUUUUUUUUUUUUUUUUUGUUAAAUUUGUGAUAAUCUUGGGUUGCGUGACAUCUUGUCUUGCUUAUAUUAGCAUUGCUCAUUUGGGGAAAUCAGGAAUUGUUUUUAUUUUGAUUUCAUUAAGAUGGUUUUGUUUGGGUUGUUUUGAUGUAUGUUGGGUGGUGAUAAGGUGAGUGUUUUUGUUUGGUUUGGGUGUUUUGCUUGAUAGUGAUUUAUUCCUUGAUUUUGUGCCACAUUCAGUGUUGGUACUAGACUAUCGUUGCCCAAGAAAAAAAACAAAACAAACAAACAAAAAAAUAAAAUUAAAUUAAAAAUUACAGUGAAUAAUUAUUAGUUGUUGUUGUUGUUGUUGUUGUUGUAACUUUUCUUCUUUUUGUUGUGUUGUAUUGUUUUUGUUAUUAGUAUUAUUAUUGUUCUACAUUAGUAGUUGUGUAUAUUUGAUGUAAGGGUGGCCGGUCAAUGGUCCAUUAUAGACCCCCUUGAUUUGUUAUUUUGCGUGAAGGUAUGGUGUACACCAUUUAUUUGGUAUUUUGAGUCCUCUAUGUAAGGUACCUUGGCCAUCUGAGACAUUAUUGUUAAGUGUCUAGUUUGGCUAAGUAAACUGGGAAUUUUAUGGGGAAGGGUUUUAUAUUGAUGUUGAGCUCAAUGUUUUAAAAUUGGAUGUAUACUAAUAAAAUUGUGA